AGAGUUUGAUCCUGGCUCAGAGUGAACGCUGGCGGCAGGCCUAACACAUGCAAGUCGAACGGCAGCACGGGAGCUUGCUCCUGGUGGCGAGUGGCGAACGGGUGAGUAAUGCGUCGGAACGUACCGAGUAAUGGGGGAUAACGCAGCGAAAGCUGUGCUAAUACCGCAUACGCCCUGAGGGGGAAAGUGGGGGAUCCGCAAGGACCUCACGUUAUUCGAGCGGCCGACGUCUGAUUAGCUAGUUGGUGGGGUAAAGGCCUACCAAGGCGACGAUCAGUAGCGGGUCUGAGAGGAUGAUCCGCCACACUGGAACUGAGACACGGUCCAGACUCCUACGGGAGGCAGCAGUGGGGAAUUUUGGACAAUGGGGGAAACCCUGAUCCAGCCAUUCCGCGUGAGUGAAGAAGGCCUUCGGGUUGUAAAGCUCUUUCAGCUGGAAAGAAACGGUGCGCUCUAACAUAGCGUGCUAAUGACGGUACCAGCAGAAGAAGCACCGGCUAACUACGUGCCAGCAGCCGCGGUAAUACGUAGGGUGCGAGCGUUAAUCGGAAUUACUGGGCGUAAAGCGUGCGCAGGCGGAUUGUUAAGCAAGAUGUGAAAUCCCCGGGCUUAACCUGGGAAUGGCAUUUUGAACUGGCAGUCUAGAGUGUGUCAGAGGGGGGUGGAAUUCCACGUGUAGCAGUGAAAUGCGUAGAUAUGUGGAGGAACACCAAUGGCGAAGGCAGCCCCCUGGGAUAACACUGACGCUCAUGUACGAAAGCGUGGGUAGCAAACAGGAUUAGAUACCCUGGUAGUCG
rnacentral:rRNA from 1 species